UGGGCUAUCGCCAAGCGGUAAGGCACAGCACUUUGACUGCUGCAUUCACCAGUUCGAAUCUGGUUAGCCCAGCUA
rnacentral:tRNA from 2 species